GGAGCAAGUGGGGCGGAAAUUUCGAGCACCAUAUCCAAAAAUGCUCAGAAUUUCAAUCUUUAUCGAUGGUAAAAUUUUCGCGCUUUUAUCAUCAAGUGCACGAUAAAAUGACCUUUUGUAUGAAGAUGGACCUCCACUAUUAGAAAAUGUAGAUGGUGC